CCUCUCCCAUCUGUAUCUCGCUUUAAACUAAAAAUUUAAUAACAAACUUCAACAACAACAAUAAUUACCUACCACUUCCUUCUUUUUCCUCUCCUAAAGAAACCUUCAUUAUCUCUAUCUUUCUAUAUAUGUAUAUAUGUAGUUGUGUAGUUGUGUACAUUAUGGAGUGAAAUGUUGUUUUGUUGAGUUGUUAAUCAUUUGGUUUCCGUUAGUAAAUGAAUGAUUAUACGAUCAAGAACCGAAUCCAGUUGUUCUAUUUUUGUGCAAAUCAUUCUAUGUUGUAUUUGAAGCAGCCUAGCGUCUUUGUUGGGGUUGAUUUAAGGUGUCAGCAGUUGUGAAUUCGUGGUUUCUGGGUUCUGGGUUCUGGUUGUAGAUGAUUAUUAUUUGAUUUGAUUUGAUUUCAUAUCAUAUCAUUUUCCUUUCUUUCUUUCACUUCACUUCAAUUCAAUUCAAUUCAAUUCAAUUGUGUGAUUUGCAUGCCCUUCUCCUAGUUUCCCUGAGCCUGGGCCUGUGCUGCAAGGCUCGGGGAAUCUGUAAAAUGGCUUCCUCAGAGACUGAUCCCUUCUCCUCCUCUAAUCCAACCGCGUCCUCUGAGAAUAACUCAUUCUCAACAUUUCCUCUCCCAUCAUCAGAAAAUGAUGUAUACUCCAACUCUGCCGCAUCUUCUGAUGACCUCCGUUCUGCCUCUCCUGUUUGUAUGCACAAAUUCAGGCUUUAUGAGACUCGAUCGAAAUUUUACAUGGUAGGAAGGGACAAGAGUAGAACAUAUUGGAGGGUGCUCAAAAUUGAUAGGAUGGAUUUGUCCAAGCUAAACAUACGUGAAGAUUCUGCUGUAUAUACAGAAAAUGAAUGUUCUGAUCUGCUGAGACGGAUACACGAGGGUAAUAAAUCUACUGGAGGACUGAAGUUUGUAUCCACUUGCUAUGGUAUUGUUGGAUUCAUUAAAUUUCUAGGACCUUAUUACAUGCUGCUUAUUACAAAGAGACGUCAAAUUGGUACAAUAUGUGGUCAUCCUAUAUAUGGUGUUUCCAGAAGUGAGAUGAUUCCACUUCCAAAUGCUGCUGUUUGGUCCAGUAUAGCCAUUCCAAAGAAUGAGAACAGAUACAAGAAGCUCCUAUGCUCGGUGGAUCUCACAAAGGACUUCUUCUUUAGCUACUCAUACCAAGUUAUGCGUAGUCUACAAAAGAAUAUCUGUGAUAAUGAAACAGGUCACGCUCUUUAUGAAACCAUGUUUGUGUGGAAUGAAUUUUUGACUCGUGGAAUCCGAAACCACUUGCAUAAUACCAUUUGGACGGUUGCUUUGGUCUAUGGCUUUUUCAAGCAGGGUACACUAUCUCUAGAUGGGAGAGAUUUCAAGUUGACCUUAAUUGCUAGACGUUCUCGUCAUUAUGCUGGCACAAGGUAUUUGAAACGAGGUGUAAAUGAGAAAGGUAGAGUGGCAAAUGACGUCGAGACUGAACAGAUCGUUUUUGAGGAUGUCCCUGAAGGGGUUUCUAUGCAAUUAAGUUCUAUCGUCCAGAAUCGUGGCUCAAUCCCUCUUUUCUGGUCACAGGAAACUUCACGCUUGAACUUAAGGCCUGAUAUUAUACUGUCAAAGAAGGAUCAAAAUUAUGAAGCAACGAGACUUCAUUUUGAAAAUCUUGCUAAAAGAUAUGGAAACCCCAUAAUUAUAUUGAACUUGAUAAAGACACGUGAGAAGAAGCCACGAGAAUCUAUUCUUCGUGCUGAGUUUGCUAAUGCUAUUGACUUCAUUAAUAAUGAUUUAUCUGAGGAGAACCGUCUUAGGUUUCUUCAUUGGGAUCUACACAAGCAUGCUCGGAGUAAAGCUACAAAUGUUUUACUGCUUCUGGGGAAAGUGGCUUCUUUUGCAUUGACACUUACGGGAUUCUUUUAUUGUCAAGUUACUCCAGCUUUAAGAUCUGAAAGGAGUGAAGGAAAUUGUAGCAUAUCUUCUCAGUUACAUUCAAACAAUGAUGUCGAAGAUGCUGCUAGCAUGGAAAAGCAAAUAAGUGCGGACAACCUUGCUUCUAAUGGGAAUUACAUUAUUAAGCAGUCGUUAUUCCAGAGUGGGGUGCUCAGGACCAAUUGCAUAGACUGCCUCGACCGUACAAAUGUUGCACAAUAUGCAUACGGGUUUGCUGCUCUUGGACACCAGCUUCAUGCCUUGGAAAUUUUAGAUUCCCCCAAAAUCCAUCUUGAUGCCCCUUUAGCUGAUGAGUUGAUGGCAUUUUAUGAGAGAAUGGGUGACACACUCGCACACCAGUAUGGUGGCUCAGCAGCCCACAAUAAGAUAUUCUCUGAGAGAAGGGGACAGUGGAAAGCAGCAACACAGUCUCAGGAAUUCUUCAGAACUCUUCAAAGAUAUUAUAGCAAUGCCUACAUGGAUUCAGAAAAACAAGAUGCUAUUAAUUUAUUUCUGGGACAUUUUCAACCACAAAAGAACAAGCCUGCGGUCUGGGAACUAGAUUCAGAUCAGCAUUGUAAUGUAGGGAGGAAUGGGCGAAUCCAUGUGCAAGAUGAUGGAAGGUCAGCAUUCAAAAGAUCCUUCUCAGAUGGAAAUAUUCUUCAUGAAAACUGCUCACCAGCAUUAUGUACAAACAGAAAGCUAGAAAAACAUUCAAACUUAGUAUUGUCUAAACAAUCGCAAGGAGGCAGUGAGGUUCUGUCAGAAUCGUCUCCAGAAAUAUCCACUUCUGGAAAUGAUAUAGCAUUCUCAAGGUACAUUCCCUCAAUGCCUCCAAGGCGGUUUUUUGGGGCCAUUCAAAGGGAAACAUGCCUUGAAGGUGACCAUAUUUUCUUUUCAGAAGAAGACCCUAUGAGUUGCUCAAACUUUGUUGACCUGGACUGGCUUUCAUCCUCUGGAAAUCCAUGUGAGGAGGUGCCGUUUGAGAGGUCCUUGGGCUUCAACUCUCCAAAUGCUAGGGAUUCAUCUGAAAAUGUUGUCACUGGAGAAUCAACUCCUUCCCUUAGUGAAUAUGUUUCAAGCAUGAUGCUGCCACCACAGGAAGAUCGACUUGCUAGCGGGUGGGACGUCCGUUUUGUGCUCUGUUGGUCGAGUUCGUCCCCAUUUGUAUUUUCCAAUUGAUCUGUGUAUUUGGUUCCUUUGAUAUCUAAUUGAAUGUGAGGGUCUUUGGAAAAAUACUCUUUUUGUUCUUCAAAUUUUUUGCUGUUUCGUUUCAAUUCGGGCUGUCAUUGGUUAGAAGCUUCUCAGAUCUUGGUCUCGAACCCACAAUGAUAUCUAAUUUGGCUCAAUUACGCGCUCCUUCUAUCCAUGGUUUGUCAACUAAAUCGUUGAAAGCAUCUCCAUCUUUAGCAUGUGCCCGUAUUACAACCAUUGCUAAUUCAGGUAAUAUGUAUCAUUCUCUUUUCCCUCUACACAAUGGGUCCUAGACUUCGGUGCUACUGCUCAUAUGACUGGUAAUCCCAAGUUAUUUUCUACAACUUUGUCAUCUACAUCAAUUAUCAAUGUUAGCAGAUGGAUCAAAGUCUUCUGUUAUUUGAUUUGGCACUGCAAAAGAGCAGAACAUAAUGAAAACUCCCCAAGUGAGAAUACCGAAACUUAACGUGCUUGAGGAUUAUUCAGAAAGCUUUGUGCAGUGGGUAAAUUAUGGAGAGACACUUUGCCAUUGAACCUUUCCUCAAAAUCCAAUAUCUUUCCACAGCUAAAAUAUUAGUGCCAAAAUGAAAAAAAAAACACCCAUCUUGUUACCCACUACAAAAUAGCUUAUAGUGAAAAGAAUAACAAUAAUUCUUUGGGAGUACAAAUUUUCGUCGGAUGCUAGGUUACAUGCAUCUUUAGGUGAAAUUAUGUAAAUAUUUCCCUGUUAAAAUCGAACUUAGAACACUGGAGAAUAUUGAUUCUUUUUUAUUCAAUGUUAUUUUACGAUCUUCAUUUUGUAACACCGUGCUCUAAUUGAUUCAUGAAGCUUUUGCAAUUUGUUGUAACCUACAAAUAAACUUCUCAAUUUGGAAUUCUCCAUCCUACUUCUGUUACAUCUCUCCAAUGUCAUUAUUACGAACUAACUUGUCUCUUGUAGACAUAAUGAUUAUACUACUUUGUCUAUCUUGUAUACUUAUUGCAGAACCACUAUAGAAAACAAUAUUCACAUA